GCCUUUGUGGUGUAAUUGUCAGCACACUUGGCGCGUAUUCGAGAGGUCCGUGGUUCGAUUCCCGGCCAGGGCA
rfam:Stegodyphus mimosarum contig13749, whole genome shotgun sequence.